AUUGAACGCUGGCGGCAUGCCUUACACAUGCAAGUCGAACGGCAGCACGGGUGCUUGCACCUGGUGGCGAGUGGCGAACGGGUGAGUAAUAUAUCGGAACGUACCUUAUUGUGGGGGAUAACGCAGCGAAAGCUGUGCUAAUACCGCAUAAUCCCUAAGGGGGAAAGCGGGGGACCGUAAGGCCUCGCGCAAUUAGAGCGGCCGAUGUCUGAUUAGCUUGUUGGUGAGGUAAAAGCUCACCAAGGCGAUGAUCAGUAGCUGGUCUGAGAGGACGAUCAGCCACACUGGGACUGAGACACGGCCCAGACUCCUACGGGAGGCAGCAGUGGGGAAUUUUGGACAAUGGGGGCAACCCUGAUCCAGCAAUGCCGCGUGAGUGAAGAAGGCCUUCGGGUUGUAAAGCUCUUUUGUCAGGGAAGAAACAGCAGCUCUAACACAGUCUGCGAAUGACGGUACCUGAAGAAUAAGCACCGGCUAACUACGUGCCAGCCGCCGCUGUAA
rnacentral:rRNA from 1 species